rnacentral:rRNA from 1 species
AUUGAACGCUGGCGGCAUGCCUUACACAUGCAAGUCGAACGGCAGCACGGGGGCAACCCUGGUGGCGGGUGGCGAACGGGUGAGUAACAUAUCGGAACAUACCCUAGAGUGGGGGAUAACGUAGCGAAAGUUACGCUAAUACCGCAUACGAUCUAAGGAUGAAAGUGGGGGAUCUUCGGACCUCAUGCUCAUGGAGUGGCCGAUAUCUGAUUAGCUAGUUGGUGAGGUAAAGGCUCACCAAGGCGACGAUCAGUAGCUGGUUUGAGAGAACGACCAGCCACACUGGAACUGAGACACGGUCCAGACUCCUACGGGAGGCAGCAGUGGGGAAUUUUGGUACAAUGGGGGGCAACCCUGAUCCAGCAAUGCCGCGUGAGUGAAGAAGGCC